GGCAGAAUAGCUCAGUUGGAUAUAGAGCAUCUCCCAUGCAAUGAGAAGGUCCUGGGUUCAAAUCCCAGUUCAGCCA